UACGUAGGGGGCUAGCGUUGUCCGGAAUCAUUGGGCGUAAAGCGCGUGUAGGCGGCUUGCCAAGUCCGAUGUGAAAGCUCGGGGCUCAACCCCGAGUCUGCAUUGGAAACUGGCUUGCUUGAGUCCGGAAGAGGAGACUGGAAUUCCUGGUGUAGCGGUGAAAUGCGCAGAUAUCAGGAAGAACACCGGUGGCGAAGGCGGGUCUCUGGGACGGUACUGACGCUGAGACGCGAAAGCGUGGGGAGCAAAC
rnacentral:rRNA from 1 species